rnacentral:rRNA from 1 species
UGGGGAAUAUUGCACAAUGGGCGGAAGCCUGAUGCAGCAAUGCCGCGUGUGUGAAGAAGGCCUUCGGGUUGUAAAGCACUUUUGUCCGGAAAGAAAUCCUUGGCUCUAAUACAGUCGGGGGAUGACGGUACCGGAAGAAUAAGCACCGGCUAACUACGUGCCAGCAGCCGCGGUAAUACGUAGGGUGCAAGCGUUAAUCGGAAUUACUGGGCGUAAAGCGUGCGCAGGCGGUUUGCUAAGACCGAUGUGAAAUCCCCGGGCUCAACCUGGGAACUGCAUUGGUGACUGGCAGGCUAGAGUAUGGCAGAGGGGGGUAGAAUUCCACGUGUAGCAGGUGAAAUGCGUAGAGAUGUGGAGGAAUACCGAUGGCGAAGGCAGCCCCCUGGGCCAAUACUGACGCUCAUGCACGAAAGCGUGGGGAGCAAACAGGAUUAGAUACCCUGGUAGUCCACGCCCUAAACGAUGUCAACUAGUUGUUGGGGAUUCAUUUCCUUAGUAACGUAGCUAACGCGUGAAGUUUGGACCGCCUGGGGAGUACGGUCGCAAGAUUAAAACUC